CAGUAGCGCGGUAAUACGAAGGGUGCAAGCGUUAAUCGGAAUUACUGGGCGUAAAGCGUGCGUAGGCGGUGAGUUAAGUCUGCUGUGAAAUCCCCGGGCUCAACCUGGGAAUGGCAGUGGAUACUGGCUCGCUAGAGUGUGUCAGAGGAUGGUGGAAUUCCCGGUGUAGCGGUGAAAUGCGUAGAGAUCGGGAGGAACAUCAGUGGCGAAGGCGGCCAUCUGGGACAACACUGACGCUGAGGCACGAAAGCGUGGGGAGCAAACAGGAUUAGAUACCCCCGUAGUCCCUGUCUCUUAUACA
rnacentral:rRNA from 1 species